GCCUGCACAGACCUGUGCCCAGGCUGCCUGCGUGCAGGGGGCUGUCACCCUCAUCACACAGCCCUUUCAUUCUCCUCUCCUGCAGCUCUAGAUCCAGCUCAGAGAUACUCACAGGAAUCAGUAACAGGCUGGAAAGAUAAACUUGACUUCAGGUGAAAUACAAGCACCAGGACAUUUUUUCUGUUCCAAUUCUAGACAAGUGUGUUGAAGGGCACAGUUUUUCCAAAAGGAAAACAUUUGGUUUUGUUCUUUUUUUCUCAAGACUAAAAGACCUCUUGAUGCCAAAAGAGUUAAUAUUGCUCAUCAUUACUUUCAAAAGACCUUUUUCUUGUGUUGGGCUCUGCCUGCCCACAAGGAACACUCCAAGAAAGUGGCCAGUUUUGGUUAAAAUAUUGCAAAGCUGAAGGAGAGCCCUCAUCAAGUAGCCAACAGGAGGAGGAAGAGAAAUGCCCUGUCAGUCAGCAGCUUCAGGAGGUUUAACCCUACAAAGUCAUACGUGUUCUGAACGCAGAGUUGUAUUAAAUCAUACCAAACCAGCACUUCUGGUGCUAUUGCAGUUCAACACAAACAUCUCCUUCGUUUUCUAAAAUCCGUGGGCUGAGGUGUCCCACCUGCCAGGUGAAAAAGCAGACCAGAAAAAUCACAGCGAGUUCCUAGAAAGAAGGAACAGACAGGAGCAGGCCCCAGAGGAGGUGUCACACCUGCCAAGCCACCCAGCCAGGAGGAAACUUGGCUCUGUGCUCUCACAAAGGUGUGUGAAAGAGUCUUGAAAAGCACAAAACAAAGCAAUGUGAUGUCUGUGGGACCUGCCCACACACUGAGCUCUGACACUUACCUUGAAGCGUUUUGGUGUGAGGUGGGUGUAAGGCUUUGGUAUCAUCCCCUUAGUCUUCAGCAGAAAACUGAAGUUUUAA